ACUGGAAGAAAUGAAGACAAAGACAACUGAUUUACAAAAAGCGGUGGAGAACAAGUUUAAGUUGCCACCAGGGAGACUACCGGACAUACUUGAUGAGGUGCUGAAAUGUCAACAGAACCAGGCACCAAAGGCUGCAGGAAUGUCAGAGACACGGGGAAGAUCUCCACCUCUUCUCGGAGACGAUAUCGCCAGCAGGAUAGAGAACCAACUGGUGCUGACAACAGGAUCACUUCAUGA